GGAAUCCACCUCGGGGCGCUCGUCCGCGUCCUCGGCCUCCGACUCCUCGCCGUCCUCGUCCUCCUCGCCGCCGCCGUCCUCCUCAUCAUCCUCCUCCUCCUGCUGCUGCUGCUGCUGCUGCUCCUCCUCCCAGCAGGGGCUCAUCCCGAAGGGGGCCGCCAGGCCAGUCUGAGAGGCAAGACUCCUGCUGGGCGGAACAACCACACAUUCAACAACACCGGCAGCACAACCGAGCCACCAACAAACAGCAAUUCAUCCCACCAGAACGCCAGACCGCCGAAGUAAGCUUCAGACAGAAUUCCGGUUUUGGAACCCCUUUAAUGCAGACAAAAAACAAAGACGGCAAUUUACCAUUCCAACGAUUCCGAGCGCAGCCGUUCACCAAUCGUCGCUACAAAGGGAUUGGCAGUCGCCAUUUUGCGGGAGCUGUACAGGUGCACUCGAGAAAAUUCCCCCUUUGGGCUCCAUCGCCAAUGUUCAUGACUGACAGGACAUGAAACGGCAGCCGCUUGCUGAUGUUGACACGAGAGGCCCACGUGACCGCCGCUGGAGUAGUCGGCGCUUCAAAAACUGGUGCAACCGGUUUCCGACGCUCAGGGAACCACAAAGGGCCACUUCCGGAUUUUUGACAGAGUUAAAAAGGAUUAUUCGGUCCACCCCUACUGGUGUUUAAACACUUUUCCGAACCCUCAAACGACUUUUUAGCAACAUUUUUACGCCUCAACAGUUUUUACCAUGAAACCACGACUGGAUCUUUCAUCCACAGCCCUCCCAUCAAAGGGCGACUGUCUUUUCCCUGGCGGAGGCAGCACUUCAUCCAUCAAGCCGAUAACUCGCCCCCUCAAGUAAUGAGGACUUAAAUAAUCGAUUCAUCCUACAAUUACUUUCCCGACAUUAGUAGUUUUUACAAAAUGUAUUUAAACUUCCAUUCCUUCAUUAGAAAACAGGACAUAUUUUCAAACCAACUGUAAUUAUGUUCCCGUUUUUGGUCCGUAACACGUCGGUAAAUAGGCAAAAAAUUUCCAAAGAGAGACCGGCUGCUUUCACAGAGGACUACAGAAAUGGGGAAAUAGUUCCUGUCCAGAGGCAGGUUAAAUCACAGGACAAGUAGUUCAUUAUUUUGAUAAUUGAGUCGUUGUUG